rnacentral:rRNA from 1 species
UACGAAGGGGGCUAGCGUUGUUCGGAAUUACUGGGCGUAAAGGGCUCGUAGGCGGCCAACUAAGUCGGACGUGAAAUCCCUCGGCUUAACCGAGGAACUGCGUCCGAUACUGGAUGGCUUGAGUUCGGGAGAGGGAUGCGGAAUUCCAGGUGUAGCGGUGAAAUGCGUAGAUAUCUGGAGGAACACCGGUGGCGAAGGCGGCAUCCUGGACCGACACUGACGCUGAGGAGCGAAAGCCAGGGGAGCAAACGGG